rnacentral:lncRNA from 1 species
AUCGUGCCACUAUGAAUAGUAAGUAGGUAGAUUUUGUUCCACGAAAAAAAAAAUACGGACUAUAAAUCGUGACCAAAUUAAUAUUAAUAAGAUAGUUCAGAUGAUAUAGUGGAUUUGAGACUGCCUGCUGCCGUGUACUUUCGACGGCCGUGUCACGCUGGAUCGAAAGUUCACCCGAACAUUGCAACAGUGUUGAUGCGACUCUUCGAACGGAAUUUGGGAGUUAUCGCUAAUCCAACGCUUACCGACAGAGAAAUGGAGGAAGCGAUGGCCCAUCAACAUAUCAGGCCACGUACAAAGUCUAGUCUCCAACCAAUUGUGGAGGAAAAUCCUAUUGAUAUAGAGAAGCAUCAAC